AUUGAACGCUGGCGGCAUGCCUUACACAUGCAAGUCGAACGGCAGCAUGAUCUAGCUUGCUAGAUUGAUGGCGAGUGGCGAACGGGUGAGUAAUACAUCGGAACGUGCCCUGUAGUGGGGGAUAACUAGUCGAAAGAUUAGCUAAUACCGCAUACGACCUGAGGGUGAAAGUGGGGGACCGCAAGGCCUCAUGCUAUAGGAGCGGCCGAUGUCUGAUUAGCUAGUUGGUGAGGUAAAGGCUCACCAAGGCGACGAUCAGUAGCUGGUCUGAGAGGACGAUCAGCCACACUGGGACUGAGACACGGCCCAGACUCCUACGGGAGGCAGCAGUGGGGAAUUUUGGACAAUGGGCGAAAGCCUGAUCCAGCAAUGCCGCGUGUGUGAAGAAGGCCUUCGGGUUGUAAAGCACUUUUGUCCGGAAAGAAAUGGCUCUGGUUAAUACCUGGGGUCGAUGGCGGUACCGGAAGAAUAAGGACCGGCUAACUACGUG
rnacentral:rRNA from 1 species